rfam:Fukomys damarensis contig127671, whole genome shotgun sequence.
GGAUAUGAGGGUGAUCUGGUUGCAACAUCUGUCAACCCAUUGAUCACCAGUGCUGAUUUGGCUGGUGUGGCAGCUAGGCAGGUGUCCCCUUCCUCCCUCACUGGGUGGCUCCUUGUGUGUCCCUCUGGGAGCUGCAUACUCAGAGGAAGAGGAAGAUCAGCCCUGAUGGACGAGAACUGUUUCCUACAUGGAGUAGCUGAACUCUCCUCCAAACAAGCUCUCAACAUUUAAGUAACUGCUCAAGAAUGCAAUGAAGAAGAAGUUGAAAGGGAAGUCCCAAACCUGUGCAUGACUAAUGCU